UACAGAGGGUGCGAGCGUUAAUCGGAAUUACUGGGCGUAAAGCGCGCGUAGGCGGCUUUGCAAGUCGGGUGUGAAAUCCCCAGGCUUAACCUGGGAACUGCAUUCGAGACUGCAUUGCUAGAGUAUGGGAGAGGGAAGUGGAAUUUCCGGUGUAGCGGUGAAAUGCGUAGAUAUCGGAAGGAACAUCAGUGGCGAAAGCGACUUCCUGGACCAAUACUGACGCUCAUGUGCGAAAGUGUGGGGAGCAAACAGG
rnacentral:rRNA from 1 species